rnacentral:lncRNA from 1 species
UAAUUCAUCUGUUCCAUACUCUGAAAUCAAAAUGACACUCAUUACGUACUUGAUUUAUAUAUAUAUUUUAUUUAUUUGUUUGAUACUCUCAAAUCAGGAUAAUAUUUAGGGCAUAUUUGGUUCGCAUAUUUGAUUCAUCUGUCUGAUACACUGAAAUCAAAAUGAUAUUUUGGUUCACAUGUUCUAAAUUACGAAAUAGGAAUAAGAUUCGUUAAUUUUGAUAGUUGUCGUUCCAUUUACAUAAAUUUAAUUUCGCUUUUCAUUUCAUUUAUCAUCUAAUCCGGCUUUGAAUUUCGGAUUGGUUCAUUCUAAGCAAAUCACUAAAAAUCUUUUCUUACAAAUACAUUCCCUUUCUUUUCCUUCAGCACUUUUCUCUCUCUCAAUCAAAAUUUGCUCUCAAAAUUCUAAAUAUUUAUUUUGAUAAUGAACCAAACAUUUUUGAACAAUUUGUCAUUUCAUUUUACAUCUAAUACAAUACAAUUUUAUUUCUCAUUUUAUUCCAAUAAUCAUUAACCAAACAUGCUACUGUAAUUAUAAAAAGGAAUUUUAAUUUCUACUUCUUAAAAAGUCUUAAUAUUCAUAAUUUAAUAGAACAGCGUAUUUAACCUACGAGCUAAUUUAUCUGAGUCAAAAGAUAUUUAACCUACAAGCUAAUUUAUCUUAUUCAAAAGAUUAUUCGAAAGCUGAAUAUAAUAUUUAAUUUAAAUAUUUGAUUACAUCCUUCACUUACUUAAAUAUAUAAAUUUUAUAAAUAAAUUAUUUAAGAUAAUAUCGAAUAAGAUUCAAAUAAGAAUACAGUAUACUAGUCCGUUGGUGCGUAUGUAAUGUCCCAAAAACUUCAAGUAGGGUUUCUUAUUUUUUUAUUUUGGCAUUCUAUAAUUUAAAGUGUAUCAAAUUAGUAUUCUGUGAUUUUUUCUUUUCUUUUCGUCGUCGAUCUCUCCGUUACUUUUUUAUUAAAUUAUAUACAAAAAAUUUUAGAUAUUUACAUAUCUUAUCUACAUAGGCACUGUUUGGUUAGGGGAUAGGAAUAGGAAUAGCCCCUUAUCCCCCCUUUUAUACCCAAACACUAAUUUUUUACCCGAGAAUAGUAGUUUUCGGUUAUCCCCACCAACACCUCCAUUUUUUAUAUAAAACUACCUAAAAUUGUUCUUAUCCUCCGGAACAACCCAAUUUUCAUCCAAACACUAUUUUUCUUAUCCCCAUACUUGUACCUAUUCCUGUAAUAGCUAGUUCUUGCUUAUACCCGAACCAAACGGUACCAUAUAGUUUAUCGGAUAUUUAUUUUAAUAUUUUUUUAGUUUUAAUUUUAUUAUUAAUUUAAUAAUUUUAUUUUAAAUGUUUCUCGGGGGAUGUAAUGACAUGAC